rnacentral:tRNA from 1 species
AAAUCAGUGCCUGACUAAAGGACUAUCUUGAUAGGAUAAACAAAAUGGAUCAUCCAUCUAUUUC